UGGGGUUCAGCUUCCUGGGUCAGACGCUGAAGCCUCCAUUGUGAUCUGGGAGACCAGGCUUAGCAGCUACUGCUCCCCCAGUGGUGUUCUGUGCUGGAAAGUGACCUUAAUUAAAGCUUCUUCUCUGCCCGGCCCAGGGGAUGAUUUUCUUCAGCUCAUACUAGCCCGCUAGGGCAGCCCUGGGCCCUGUUAAUACUAAAUUCUGAGCCAGACAUUCCAGGUAACUGAAAGAAACGAAGGGAAAAUGCUGGGGUCUGGCCUUAAAAUGACUCUACACAAACCGACUCCCCUCAUUUCUUGUCCCAUUAGCAAUUGCAGGAGCAAAUCCAGCCAUGGGGGAGCAAACUUCCUGGGAGUGGGACUUUCCUACCAGACGGGCAGGGAGAAGGGACAGGGAAAAGGAGAUAGAAGGAGAAAGAGAGACUGAAAGGGGCACUGGGAGAGAAGAGUUUGGAGAGAGAUUUCCAGAUCUCUAAUCUGCCCAGAAAGAUGUAUUACUGUACCCUGGAUAGAGUCACUUUCCUGUAGAAAAGAUGAGAAUCAGACAGAGGAAAAUCCAGUUCCUGACUCCAUAUUCCCCCUGCUGGAGUGUGGCUGCCAUGGGGUCAGUGUCUCAGGGAAUCCCCCACAGUGAAUCCUUUGGUUCUGCUUUUUUCUAGCCUUAUGUUCAGAGACUUUGUUAUGGGAUGGGGGGAGGGAGAAGGGAGGUUAAAAAUGUCUCUGUGGGCUUAGCCUGGCAGGAGGGGCCAGGUCUACACUGUAUAAAGAGAUCAAGCCUUUUCUCAGCAUGGCAGACUCUAGGGUGUGUGUCUGUGGGGAAAGGACCUGGGGGAAUCAUGCUGUGAAAUGAAUUAAAGCGUGUUCUGAAACCUUCACAACUGCCCUUCUCACCCUGCCAGGCUGUGGAAUAAUGUCCAUGUUUCACUCCAGUUUAUCCCGUCCUCUCAUUGGCCAGGGGAGAGAAAUGGCUGCAGAGGAGCCAGUUCAGGGGCUGUGACCUUCGAGGAGAUGGCUGUGUAUUUCACCAGAGAAGAGUGGGCUCUGCUGGACCCUACAGGGGUGUCAUGCAGGAGAGGUAGAAGAGCGAGAACUGAGUUUUUCUCCGACAAUUUGGGGGCUCGUCCGGGAUGGCAACGCCCACUGAGACACAGACAGCUGCUACAGAUCGUUCCCCUUCGAACCCCAUGGCUCCACAAGAGAGGUAUGAGACCUUUUGAAAUCUCUAUUGGGGUAUCGGAGGAGGACUGUCCGUGGGGCCUUCUGUCCCUGUUGGGCUCACGCCAUCUGAACUUAUUGACUGUGCAGCAAGAUCAGAUGCAGAGUGGUAUUGGGAAAAGGUACCAACAAGGUUAGUUUAUAGCAGUACUGGGGAACU